GAUCCUGGCUUAGGAUGAACGCUAGCGGCAGGCCUAACACAUGCAAGUCGCGGGGCAGCACGGGUAGCAAUACCUGGUGGCGACCGGCGCACGGGUGCGUAACGCGUAUGCAACCUGCCCCCAUCAGGGGAAUAGCCCGCCGAAAGGCGGAUUAAUGCCCCAUAGGCCCAGGGCGCCGCAUGGCGCUAUGGGUAAAGCUCCGGCGGAUGGGGAUGGGCAUGCGUGCCAUUAGCUAGUUGGGGCGGUAACGGCGCACCAAGGCGACGAUGGCUAGGGGGUCUGAGAGGAUGGUCCCCCACACUGGUACUGAGACACGGACCAGACUCCUACGGGAGGCAGCAGUGAGGAAUAUUGGACAAUGGGCGCAAGCCUGAUCCAGCCAAUGCCGCGUGAGUGAUGAAGGCCUUAGGGUUGUAAAGCUCUUUCACCGAUGAAGAUAAUGACGGUAGCCGGAGAAGAAGCCCCGGCUAACUUCGUGCCAGCAGCAGC
rnacentral:rRNA from 1 species